rnacentral:rRNA from 1 species
GGUUUAUUGGAUCGUCUCGUUAUAUGGAUAACUGUAAUAACUCUAGAGCUAAUACAUGCCACGAAGCCCUGACCCCGCUCGUCGGGGAAUGGGUGCACUUAUUAGAACAGAAGCCAACCAGUCAUCUUAAGCACAUUCUCUCCUCGUGGGGGAGUGUGUGGACUGUAGCACUUCUGGUGACUCUGGAUAAUUGUUACAGAUCGCAGUCGGCUUUAUGUCGGCGACGGGUCCUUCAAAUGUCUGCCCUAUCAACUUUCGAUGGUAGGUGACCUGCCUACCAUGGUGAUAACGGGUAACGGGGAAUCAGGGUUCGAUUCCGGAGAGGGAGCCUGAGAAACGGCUACCACUUCCAAGGGAGGCAGCAGGCGCGCAAAUUACCCACUCCCAGCACGGGGAGGUGGUGACGAAAAAUACCGAUGCGGGACUCAUUAACGAGGCUCCGUAAUCGGAAUGAGUGGACUCUAAAUCCUUUCACGAGGAUCAAUUGGAGGGCAAGUCUGGUGCCAGCAGCCGCGGUAACUCCAGCUCCAAUAGCGUAUAUUAAAGUUGCUGCAGUUAAAAAGCUCGUAGUUGGAUCUCGGUAGCAUUGUUGCCUGCUUAGUUAUCAUGUGCUAUGGCGUGCAUUUCAUCGUGUGUAUCUGUAUCAUUUAAGUUCGCAAGAGCUUGAAUAUGUGGUUGCCACGGUGGAUGUACACAAAAACUGUAGUGCAUUGAGCUGGUAUGGCGAUGGUGUCACCUUUGAGCCAUGUCUGUGAUCAUCCGAUCACAGGUGUACUCGUGUGUCGCGCAGUGUUCUGCACUAGUUGUGGAGCCUUGCCGCCUCGUGUACAUGCCAAUGAAUGCCCUUAAAA